CGUAUCACCCAAGACAACUUUGCGGAGUUGACGAUUGACGGAGCGAAGCGACGUCAAAGCGUUCAUUAAAGUCGAGUUGGCUUAGGGAUACGUUCGUUGGGUAGGGGAGCGUUCUGUAAGCCAGUGAAGGUGUGUCGUGAGGCAUGCUGGAGGUAUCAGAAGUGCGAAUGCUGACAUAAGUAACGAUAAAGCGGGUGAAAAGCCCGCUCGCCGGAAGACCAAGGGUUCCUGUCCAACGUUAAUCGGGGCAGGGUGAGUCGACCCCUAAGGCGAGGCCGAAAGGCGUAGUCGAUGGGAAACAGGUUAAUAUUCCUGUACUUGGUGUUACUGCGAAGGGGGGACGGAGAAGGCUAUGUUGGCCGGGCGACGGUUGUCCCGGUUUAAGCGUGUAGGUGUGUGUUCCAGGUAAAUCCGGUUCACUUUAACACUGAGGCGUGACGACGAGGCACUACGGUGCUGAAGCAACAAAUGCCCUGCUUCCAGGAAAAGCCUCUAAGCAUCAGGUAACAUCAAAUCGUACCCCAAACCGACACAGGUGGUCAGGUAGAGAAUACCAAGGCGCUUGAGAGAACUCGGGUGAAGGAACUAGGCAAAAUGGUGCCGUAACUUCGGGAGAAGGCACGCUGACAC
rnacentral:rRNA from 1 species